rnacentral:rRNA from 1 species
AAUAUUGCACAAUGGAGGGAACUCUGAUGCAGCGACGCCGCGUGAAGGAAGAAGGNUUNNGGAUCNUNAACUUCUAUCAGCAGNNNNNAAAAUGACGGUCCCUGACUAAGAAGCCCCGGCUAACUACGUGCCAGCAGCCGCGGUAAUACGUAGGGGGCAAGCGUUAUCCGGAAUUACUGGGUGUAAAGGGUGCGUAGGCGGUAAUGAAAGUCAGGUGUGAAAGCCCGAAGCUCAACUUCGGGAUUGCACUUGAGACUUCAUAACUAGAGUACAGGAGAGGUGAGUGGAAUUCCUAGUGUAGCGGUGAAAUGCGUAGAUAUUAGGAGGAACACCAGUGGCGAAGGCGACUCUCUGGUCUAUAACUGACGCUGAGGUGCGAAAGCGUGGGGAGCAAACA